rnacentral:lncRNA from 1 species
GUAGUCACGUGAUGACUCUUUCCAUGAGCCACAGCGGAACCCCCCGGCCAAGCAUCACAAGCCACAGGGGGCUUUAGAACUUAGCUCUCGGUGCCACGAUCAGCAUGAGCUAUCGGGUCGAUGCCUGAUAGCCACUCCUGCAGGAAGAGUUCCAGAAUAUUCUCUCACCAGUAAGGAAAAGAAGUGACGCUCAUCAGGUUCUGAGGAUUCCUUGUAGGCUUGCAGCUGGACAGCGGCCCCAUGUCAACACCUGCAUCGUCGCGGUGAUGAAUUCUAUCAGUCUCCCUGCUCCGUGUCUGAACAUACGAGCGGUAUGUUCCCAUCCUGCCUUGGGUCGGAAUAUCUUUCUGAACUUGACUAUUUCUGUGGUGGCGGGAGAGUGUCCCCUGAAUGGACUCUAAAGCGGGCAGUUAGGGAGUCCAUGGAAUUCUGAGAGGAAAAUCCUUACACGAGCAGCAGAGCUAGAAAAACCCUAGGAACGACCCAGCCCUCCCCGGACUAACGAGCAAGGUGAGGCAGACGGCUUGAGGGACUUGGACCCAGGCCCCGGACUGGCUGGCCAGUGGCUGAAGGGGCCAAGACCCCUGGUCUUUCACUUUAGGCAAAAUCUCUUUCACUUAGGCUCCUGGUCCUCUUCUGAAGACUUAGGAUUUUCAGUUGUUUUAUUUUAAAGAAGGCAAAGACCAGGAAAAAAAAAAAAAGAAGAAGAAGAAGGCAGCAGGCAAGGUCGUAAAUGCAAAUGCUGGAAAACAAAUAAAAAAGCUCUUCCUUUUCUACGAUAGGAUCGU